CCUACGGGUGGCAGCAGUGAGGAAUAUUGGUCAAUGGGCGGAAGCCUGAACCAGCCAAGUCGCGUGAGGGAUUAAGGCCCUGCGGGUCGUAAACCUCUUUUGCCGGGGAGCAGUGGUCCGGACGCGUCCGGACCGGGAGAGUACCCGGAGAUAAAGCAUCGGCUAACUCGGUGCAAGCAGCCGGGGUAAUACGGAGGAUGCAAGCGUUAUCCGGUUUUAUUGGGUUUAAGGGGUGCGUAGGCGGUCCUUUAAGCCGGCGGUCAAAUGUGGGGGCUCAACCCCCGCCGGCCGUCGGAACUGGGUGCCUGGAGGGGGCUAGAAGUAGGCGGAAUGCGUGGUGUAGCGGUGAAAUGCAUAGAUAUCACGCAGAACCCCGAUUGCGAAGGCAGCAUACCGGCGCCCUACUGACGCUGAGGCACGAAAGUGCGGGUAUCGAACAGGAUUAGAUACCCGUGUAGUC
rnacentral:rRNA from 1 species